ensembl:lncRNA
CCCUUUUGUGUCCAACGUGUGUGUGAACGUUAGCUACGCUGUCUGUGUCAUAUGCCAUUUAAAGUCUGUGUGUGUUAGCCCCUAUGUUAGUUAGCGUCAAAGAUAGACCUGUCUUCUGUCUCACUCAGCAUGUAUCAGUGUUUCCUUGCCUGUUGCUUCAAAAUAAAAGGCCUGCAACCAAAAGACAUGAUGAUUGCAAGUUGUCUUUUUUGAAGAACCCACCAGCGCUAGAGGCAAGAUAUUGCUAUUAUUAUGUGCAAAUGAAAUGUAAAAUGUGCAUUGUGCAUUUCCACUCUAAGAGGAGUCGUCUCCUCUCGCGGCACAGAGGGGAGUCAUUGUAGAUGGCUGUUGCAGUGGACAGGAAUGACCUCCUGUAAUGGUCCUUAUUGCAGCGGAGCUGAAGGAGCCUCCAACUGAAACACUGCUGUCUGACCAGUAGGUUGUGUAGGGAGUGUGUAGUGUUGGCCAGCAUGCGCAACAUCCUUCUCUCCACAGCCAACUCUAGGGGCUCCGGAACAGUCCCCUGCACAGAGCCAGCCUUCUUUUAUCACUUUGUUCAGUUUCUUAGAGUCGCUGGCUCAACAUAUGUCUGCAAAGUAGGGCUGUUGAUCAAUAAGAACAAUAACUGAUUAAUUGAAUAAUUUGCAAUUUUUUUCCCCUUAAGACUGAAGCUUGUAAUAAUGGAUGUUUAUAUAAAGCACAUAAUUAAUGUAGAAUCAACACAGAGGAAGUAUAUUCAAAUUCAAAUACUGUUGUUUGUUAGCGUUUGUUUUGACGAAUGCUUUUUAUUGCUGUAACGGUAACGUUCCACAAUGCAUCGCACAAAAAAGGCCUGAAUGCCGCGCAGACCGCUAAGUGCCCGGCGUGCGCAGGAACAGCGGCAGCGUGAAGUGGCUGAGCAUAACGCACAGACAGUGCACUUGCGUUCUCUGCCGGUCCACCAUACCUAAUGGGCCUUGAACUCCGUUAUCAAAACUCUCUGAGCACAGACCGAGGGAGGGAGAGAGAGAAAACAGCACAUGAGAGAGAGAGAGAGAGAAAGAAGAAAGAAACAUUAACUUGCAUAGUUCAAUUAUUUCCUCCAGCUUUUGCAGUUUGGCAAGCUCCUCUGCAGUCAACACGGCAGAAGAGAAAUGUCUUGCUUCUUUGCUGUUUUGCUGAGCCAUUGUAGUGGUCAGUGAUAGGUGAAAAUUCACCCUAGUUACCUCAGGACUCCGGAGCUGCAUAUACUGUAAGUAUAUUUAUUAGACAAACAACAAUUGCAAUCGGGCUCACUCCCAGCACAAGGCUGAAAGUGAAGCAAUAUUAAACACAUCGCACAAGGUUUAUAUAGACAGAAGUUUAGCGUUCAGUAGGGAUAACCACGUGAUGGACUUCUGACGUCCGUGGAUGGAAGUUUUGCAAGGUCGGAAGAAGCACAGUUCGACUCUUCUUAUCACCUCUGGUCUAAACAUGCUCUUGUACAUAUGCAGACUAAGUGGCACCUAAUAUUCUAAGUUACACACACGCAGAAACACAGAAAAGCCAUGUUCCUGCUUACAUAAGUACAUGAUUCAUAUAAGGUAAUUAAUAAUACAAGGCACUUGAUUAUUAUAUUCUUAAGUCAUUAACAGUGUUUGGAAAUGAUCUCCAUCAGUCAGUGGAGAUUUUUUUCACUGGACUCGCUUGACCAUCUCUAGGGUAGAAUUCCAUCCAGUUUCCACGUCCGGAACAAAUUAUGCUUGCUUCGGUCCAAGUGUAGCUUGCUGAUCUCUUCCUGACCGCUUGAUGGACUGUGCUUAAAGUGAUCGAUAAUCUUGCCUGGAACACUUGGCAAAUCUUGCCAUUUGGCCAGAACACUUUGGUGAAGGGAAAGCAUGACUGUCCUUUGCUGCCUGUGGGCCAUGCGGGGUCGGUGUUCAGAUGGAAGUACUCUUGCUGCCUGUGGGCCAUGCGGGGUAGGUGUUCAGAUGGAAGUACUGUUGUGGCUGCAACCAUGUUAUUAGAACCAUCAGUGCUCAGGAGGGUGUUUUGCUUUGAGGUGAUAUGUCAAAGACGAGUUGCUUCUGUGGUUAUUAAAAUUCGGCUUUGCAAACUGUGCAGAAAACUUUUGUUUUCUCCAAAGAUCCAUCGGGCAACUUUUUAGUGAAACUUUCCUCUUAAAACUCCAUCCUUGUCCUUAUCCAUCUUUAGGCAAGGGUUCGGGGUGACGGCACACAUCUUCACAGGUCAUAUGUCAGCUGUUACAGAAAGUAAACAAAAUGCAGCUGUGUUAAUUGUGUCCAUGUUUUCAGAGAGAGAGACAAGGAAAGGAACAAGGAGGGAAGUAAAAGAAGACAAAGAAAGCAGAAGUGGAAGAAAAGGCUGAAAAAUAACAAGGAAAACAGGAGAGAGAACGAGAGUGGAGACACAGAGAGAAGAGCUAGCUGAUAAAGAAAAGAGACUUAACUGAUGGCCAGAUAAAGGAAAAGAGUUCAAGAAGCCUUCAUUUUGGCAGUCACUCUUAUUCACAUGUAAACUACACUAGCACUGACUUCCUGAAGUAGGUGGCAUAUUAUUAACAAUAACUGCAUGCCUGGAGAGAGGUGAAGAGUAGAGCACACAUUUAAAAAAGAGAGAGAUGUCACAUUUUGCCAGAUAACAGUGCUGUUGAAUUCUGAAACCAGAGCAGCUAUCCAGACAUCCAGCCAGGCAGCCUGGAACGCAGCACUGCAGGAGGAGCGAGUGAGUGGCCCCCUCUCGAUCUGGCCACCAACAGACAGACAAGACAGACAGACAGACAGACAGGAAGGUCAGAUAACUGCAGUGUCAUCUGAAGUGUCCUGGCUGAGAUGGGAAGAGUCUUCUGCAGGCUUGCUUGGUGUGUGAGUGUGUGUGUAUAGAUCUUUACAGAUACAGCACGAUUUGUUGUUACGGUUUUUCUGUGCAGCAAUACAUAUUUUGAACGAGUAUCCCGUAAAUUAACACUUUCACAUCAAAGACUAAUGUUUAUGUGCAGAAAAGCGAAAUUUCGAAUCAUUGCGAAUCAAUUUUUUGUCAACAGAAUAAAUGUUUUUUGUGGACGAAUCUGAGGGACACCUGCGUGAGGAAGGAGAGAGAAGAGGGCAACGUAGGAAGGGGUCAGGCAGUGAGAUAGCGGAAAAAGAGUUGGAAGAACAUGGACACGAUGUCUUUUUUUAGACCACUCCACUGCUUUUAGGAGGUGCACAACUGGUAACUUGAGAGUUAUAUAGACUACAUUUGUGUCAUUGUUAAGUAACACUACCUAGGAACCCGUUUCUUUGUAAUAGCACCCAUAACAGCCUAGACAGUGAGAAAGGCUAGGAGGCAGAGGUAGACUCAGGGAAAGAGUCUGACCACUCAGGGAGUAAGGGAGAGGUGGCUGGCCACUCAACCGCCGGCCACUCAAGGAGAGGAAGAGUGAAGGGCUCCUUGAGGACUCUUACGGAAGAAGAGAAAUGCUGAGAGAGAGAGAGAGAGAGAGAGGCAGAGGGAUGAUGUCUGCCUCUUUCUGUUAAGUUUCCCCCCUGCCAUGAGGAAACUGCCUGCAGAGAGGCAGUCCUGGGUUAAAGUUAAAAUGCAGGAAAUCCUUCAUGAUAGAGAGCUUGGUAUGAUGUACAGCAUACCC